GCGGUAAUACGGAGGGUGCAAGCGGUAAUCGGAAUUACUGGGCGUAAAGGGGCACGCAGGCGGUCUGUCAAGUCGGAUGUGAAAUCCCCGGGCUCAACCUGGGAACUGCAUUCGAAACUGGCAGGCUAGAGUCUUGUAGAGGGGGGUAGAAUUCCAGGUGUAGCGGUGAAAUGCGUAGAGAUCUGGAGGAAUACCGGUGGCGAAGGCGGCCCCCUGGACAAAGACUGACGCUCAGGUGCGAAAGCGUGGGGAGCAAACAGGAUUAGAUACCCUGGUAGUCCACGCCGUAAACGAUGUCGAUUUGGAGGUUGUGCCCUUGAGGCGUGGCUUCCGGAGCUAACGCGUUAAAUCGACCGCCUGGGGAGUACGGCCGCAAGGUUAAAACUCAAAUGAAUUGACGGGGGCCCGCACAAGCGGUGGAGCAUGUGGUUUAAUUCGAUGCAACGCGAAGAACCUUACCUGGUCUUGACAUCCACAGAACUUACCAGAGAUGGUUUGGUGCCUUCGGGAACUGUGAGACAGGUGCUGCAUGGCUGUCGUCAGCUCGUGUUGUGAAAUGUUGGGUUAAGUCCCGCAACGAGCGCAACCCUUAUCCUUUGUUGCCAGCGGUUAGGCCGGGAACUCAAAGGAGACUGCCAGUGAUAAACUGGAGGAAGGUGGGGAUGACGUCAAGUCAUCAUGGCCCUUACGACCAGGGCUACACACGUGCUACAAUGGCAUAUACAAAGAGAAGCGACCUCGCGAGAGCAAGCGGACCUCAUAAAGUAUGUCGUAGUCCGGAUUGGAGUCUGCAACUCGACUCCAUGAAGUCGGAAUCGCUAGUAAUCGUAGAUCAGAAUGCUACGGUGAAUACGUUCCCGGGCCUUGUACACACCGCCCGUCACACCAUGGGAGUGGGUUGCAAAAGAAGUAGGUAGCUUAACCUCGGGAGGGC
rnacentral:rRNA from 1 species